CGAUCAAAACAGGGAGAAGAAAGGGGGAAAACCCCUUUGAUCUAAAUCAGAGAAAUUGAAAGGAUAAUCAAGGCCAAGCUAAUGCAUGAACCCGAAUUACUGAUCAUCUAAGUUGUUUAUUAAAGUGGUAUAAAGGAAGAAGGUUCGAGCCACUCAAAGCAACAAGGGAAUCAAGACCGAGGUAAAACUCAAGUUUAGGUGGUUAUGCUUCGCUUGGAUCGAACACACUUUGAACUCCAUUCAUGCACUUCCGCAAAUUUUGUAAAACAUGUAAAUGGGUCAAAACACUUUUGUUAAAUGGCUUAUGUUUAGUAGUUAAAUCUUAAACUUUAAUGUGUUUUGUUAUUUUGUA